AGGAGCCGUAUGCGAUGACCCGCACGUACGGAUCUGUGAGAGGCGCAUGAAUCAUUCAUGCGCCUACUCGAU
rnacentral:ncRNA from 1 species